rnacentral:rRNA from 1 species
CUGCAUGGCGGCAGCUACACAUGCAGUCCGAACGGUAGCACAGAGAGCUUGCUCCUCGGGUGACGAGUGGCGGACGGGUGAGUAAUGUCUGGGAAACUGCCUGAUGGAGGGGGAUAACUACUGGAAACGGUAGCUAAUACCGCAUAACGUCGCAAGACCAAAGAGGGGGACCUUCGGGCCUCUUGCCAUCAGAUGUGCCCAGAUGGGAUUAGCUAGUAGGUGGGGUAACGGCUCACCUAGGCGACGAUCCCUAGCUGGUCUGAGAGGAUGACCAGCCACACUGGAACUGAGACACGGUCCAGACUCCUACGGGAGGCAGCAGUGGGGAAUAUUGCACAAUGGGCGCAAGCCUGAUGCAGCCAUGCCGCGUGUAUGAAGAAGGCCUUCGGGUUGUAAAGUACUUUCAGCGGGGAGGAAGGUGAUGAGGUUAAUAACCUUGUCGAUUGACGUUACCCGCAGAAGAAGCACCGGCUAACUCCGUGCCAGCAGCCGCGGUAAUACGGAGGGUGCAAGCGUUAAUCGGAAUUACUGGGCGUAAAGCGCACGCAGGCGGUCUGUCAAGUCGGAUGUGAAAUCCCCGGGCUCAACCUGGGAACUGCAUUCGAAACUGGCAGGCUAGAGUCUUGUAGAGGGGGGUAGAAUUCCAGGUGUAGCGGUGAAAUGCGUAGAGAUCUGGAGGAAUACCGGUGGCGAAGGCGGC